AUGGAGGCAUUGACUUUGAAAAAAAUAGAUUGGUUAGAAUAUAAACAAGCAAUGCCUCUAAAAGUAGAAAACAGUCUUACUGAGAAACCAAGUUUCAGGAGAUAAAAGCAAUCUUUAGUUCACAAGGCAAGUGUCCCAUCUCAUCCCUAAAUAAUUUAUCUUUUUUUUCUUGGAAAGGAAAGCAAAAAUUUUGCUUGGGAAAGCAAAAUUUGUCCUUUGACACCUGGCAUUGAAUAGCAGAAACAGCCCACAUGUAGUAGAUGGGCUGUUAGUAGUGGCUUCAAAAGCCUUCCCUGGCAGCUCAGAUGGUAAAGAAUCCACCUGCAAAGCAGGUGACCAAGACUCCAUCGCUGGAUGGGGAAGAUCCCCUGGAAAGGGAUAGCUACCCACUCCAGUAUUCUUGCCUGGGAAAUCCCAUGGACAGAGGAGCUGGGCGGGCUACAGUCCAUGGGGUCACAAAGAAUCAGACACAUAAGCUCUGUUUAUUGCCUAUCUUGUGUCUGCUCCAUCGCUCAGUCAUGUACAACCCUCUGUAGCUCCAUGGACUGUAACCCACGAGGCUCCUCUGUCCAUGGGAUUUCCCAGGCAAGAAUAUUGGAGUGGGUUGCCAUCUCCUUCUCCAAUUGCUUAUCUUACUUCACCUAUGUGAAAAAUGAGUCCCAUCUUGGGAAUUCCUUGGUGAACCGGUGGUUAGGACUUGGUGCUAUCACUGCCAGGCCAGGUCUGAUCCCUGGUUGGGGAAGGAAGAUCCUGCAAGCUGAAAAGAAAAAAAAAAAAAAGAGGAAAAGAAAAAUGAGCCCCAUCUUGAAAAGAUAUGGAAAGUGACUGUUUGGAGAGAAGUCAAAUAGCACAUAAACUUAUAGGAGAAUUUGAACUCUGUUCCAAACAGUCCUCGUGAGGUUACCUUUUCCUUUUUCUUUCAUUUUUAUUAAAAAAAAAAUUUUUUUUUGGCUGCACUGGGCAGCCUGUAAGAUCUUAGUUCCCUGAACAGGGAUGGAACUAGCACCUCCUGUAGUAGAAGGUGAACUUCUUAACCACUGGACCACCAGAGAAGUCCCUUCCUUGUUCUUUUAAACUCUAUGUGUGUUAAGUUGCUUCAGUCAUGUCUGAUUCUUUGUGACCCCAUGGGCUGUAGCCCACUGGGCUUCUCUGUCUAUGGGAUUCUCCAGGCAAGAAUAUCGGAGCGGGUUGUCAUGCCCUCCUCCAGCGGAUCUUCCCGAAUCAGAGAUUGAACCCAUGUCUCUUCUGUCUCCUGCAUUGGCAGGUGGGUUCUUUACCACUAGCACCAUCUGGGAAGGCCUUUAAGCUCUAUACACGAUGUGAGACACUUGGUGGGCAGGAGGGGAGCUGCGGGGAGGAAUGCUCUUCCAGCUCCAUCCUGCUGCUCUCCAAGAGGAAAAACACAGGCCCCAUAGGCUUGAGUCUGCUUUAUGGACCAGGCCACGUUCACUAGUGAGCCGGGUCACUGUAGGUUCACCGGCUCCGCACAGCUGACUGGCCUCUUUCGCUCUGCCUGCUUUCCCGAGCCUAAGGCAUAGAGUUGGUACAACCCUGCCAUGACCCUUCUUCAUUCCUUUCUCUCUGGUGGUCUCCUGUCAAAAAGCUGAAUUGGAAACCUUUGCAGUUUGGCCCCGUGGCUCUCUCUCCACUUCCUCUCCCAUGAGUUUCAAGACUCUGACUUUCUUCUUUUAGGCCUUGGUGGCCAAUGAGUGGCACAUUUCAGACUUGGACUUUAUCAGAUGGAGUGGUCAUUUUUCAGGCUCCAGUGGACUCCACCAGCCCCAGGCUGCGGAGAGACAGAGAACCCGCUGUCAAGGGGUGAGGCUGGUUCUCACUUGUUUCCCAGUUUGUUUUUUGUUUGUUUGUUUUUUUUACUUUUUCAUGCAGGAUCUUAGUUCCCAGACCAGGGGUUGAACUUUUUCCCCCAGUGGAAGCCCAUUGGACCACCAGGGAAGUUCCUCCCAUUUGGUCUUGUUUCCCAUUUGUUCAUCAAGAACCCCACAGGGAAAAGGCAAAGCUGCUCUUUCAUUCUAUCUUCCUCUGCUUGUCCAGUGGCAGGGUGUGUAGGACAGAUCCCAAAUAAGACAUGUACAAGAUACAUAUUCUUCUUCACUCACAUAAAGUUUGCACUGUAAUGGCAAUCUUGCUCUACAAAGACCUCUGGAGCUCAGGUUCCUUCUAAUUUGUGGCUGUCCCAUCCGUGGCUUGUUGCUUUUGUCUCCACGACCUAAGGGGGCUCACCUUCGAAUCCGUGCUCCAGCAGGCUUGGAGCAACAUUGUGAAAUGUUUCAGGGACAUGGAAGAUAUGUCCCUUUAUCUAAGGCAGUGGUCAGCAAGCUACAGACUGCAGGUAGGCCAUCUUUCCUACACUGGGUCAGAUUUUGGUGACCAUUAUUUUGAAAUUCUUGUAAGCCAGGUUCCUGAUAUUCAUUUGCUGUUGUUGUUCAGUCCCCAAGCAUUGCCUGACUUUUGCGACCCCAUGGACUGCAGCAUGCCAGGCCGCCCUGUCCGUCACCAUCUCCCGCAGUUUGCCCAAAUAUUCAUUUAUAACCAUGCUGAUUUCUUUUGUCCUCUCUGCCUUCCUUUUCUCAUUGGGAUAUUUUACCAUAGCAGAACUAGAGUUCCAUUUUGACUUCUUCCUGAAUGGCUGUAUUUUCAAGUGUGGAAUCUGUGCCUGGCUAUGCCAGCUUCUCCUUCACUUCCACUCACAAAGUCUCUGUGGGCAGUUACUCCCAUGUUACCAUUCCAUGUCUUUGUCAGAACUUGGUCCAAAACAGCAACUCCCUUCCCCCUCUGGAACGGAAAUCACUCCCCAGGCAAGUUAGGAACUUGUACCCUGGAUGGAGGGUAGGUAGGAAUCCUAAUAGAUGUCCCAGUGGAGAAGGUCCCAUCCACUCCACUCAUAUCCUAGCUCUGGUCCCCUUUGUGAUUUGGGUCAGGACUUCCUUCCAUUCUCUCCCUCCAUGACAAUUCCUCCUGGCAUUUUACUCUCAACACACAAGCUUCCAGCUUUGAGGAUUUCUGAAGCAGGCAUGUAGCUUCUUAACACUCCUCCAUCCUAAGAGGUCUGCCUCUUUCAAACACCCUCCCAAGGCUAAAUUCACUCUUUUGCCCCAACACAUCAUCUUGGUUACACCCGUAAGAUCUUAUUUACCACCCUGUUUUCUGGCUUCAAUCUUGAACUUGCUCAUGACUCAUGAACUGUCUGUACAUCAGGGAAGAACAACUGUGAAUCAAGUCUGGGGCAACUUCUGAAACUAUUAUAUUCCUAUGUGAGUAACAACUGAAAGAACUCAAGGUUCCCAGUUCAGAACAGAAGACUGGAUGGUUGCCAUCUUUGAACAGCUGGAGGGCUAUUUUGUGGAGAGUAGAACAUUUCCAUAAGGUUUCUAUAAAAUGUGAUUUUUUAAAAACCAAUGAGCAAGUAUUACUUUGGUUUUGGGUGGGGGGAAGAACAAUAAAGACACACACAUGAUUGGACUUGUUUAUUCUGGGCUACUUAGAGUAGCCCAGAAUGGCAAAACUUUUUGAUGCAGAAUCAAAACGAACCUUCAAAGAAGUGGAGUUGUCCAAUAUGAGACGAGUUGCCUGGAGAAGUAGUGAGAUUCUUGUUUGGAUGGUAUGCAAGAAGAUGACGAUGAACACUUGAUUUCAAGCGGAAUGAGGAGCUGAACAAUGUGGUACUCCGAGGCGGCAUCCUCUUGAUUGAAAAGUAAACGGAACCUUCUUGAUUAGCUCAGGUUAUAGGGGAUUUGGGAAAGAAUUCAGCUCUCAUUGAAUCCAAGGAAAAAUUGAGCAACGAGGCUGCAGGAAGGGUGGAGAUGAAAUCAGCUCCAAGCCAGGUCCACUGUGAUGACUCAGCUCUGAGCUGUGUUUCUUUCUUUUUCGUUUUUUUUUUUUUUUCUUUAGUUUGAUCUUUCCUGAAAAUCUGAGAGACCACUGACAUGACCGUAGGCUUGCUUCUCUUGAGUCAGGUGUUCAGUCCUGAUUCAAUCUACAAUGUUCAUAGGGGUGGAGUCUCAUGAUUCAAACGUAAAAUCUCUCUGAUGACAGAGACCAUCCACGCUGUGGGUAUAAAAAUUCUCAGAAAAGUUGGGAGGGGCAGACAGCCUCAAAAUGAUACAAACAGUCCUGUCCAAACUCAGGGCUCACCAAUUCUGAGUCAUUAGUAAUUUCAAGCAGAUGAUGUUCUCCAUGUGGUUGUAAAGAGGCCAGGACUAAUUCAUAUUCAGCCGAAAGCACGCGCUUGAAUUAAAGUGAGGGGUCAACAGAGGUGAGAGCAGGACCAUGAAGUGAGAGCAGAAUGAAUCAAUGGAAAAAGAGUAAAUGGGGCUCAUUGAUUGACUCACAGACCUUGAUGCUCUGCCGGCUGGAACAAGUAUUGUCUAGGACAGAGCUACCCCUGGGCUGAAUUACAAGUUACAAAAACUCUGUGUCCAAGCAGGGUUUUUCCCAUGCAAUUAUUUAUUUGGCUGUGCUGGGUAUUCAUUGCUCCGUGGCCUUUUCUCUAGCUGCAGCAAGAGGGGGCUACUCUCUAGUUGUGAGGGUUUCUCAUUGUGGGGGCUGCUCUUAUUGCAGAGCACGGGGUCUAGGAUGAGGGGGCUUCAGUAGCUGCGACUUCCAGGCUCUAGAGUUCUGGCUUGGUAUUUGUGGCACAUGGGCUUAGUUGCUCUGUGGCAUGUGGGGUCUUCCCAGACCAGGGAUCGAACUCGUGUUCCUUGCACUGGUAGGUGGAUUCUUUACCACUGAGCCACCAGGGAAGCCCAUCCCAUGCAGUUUAAAAAUUUUUUAAUUUUAAAAUAGUUUUAGAUUUACAGAAAGGCUGUAUAGAGUUCCCAUGAAUCCUAUAGAUCCCCCCGCCCAGUUUCCUCUCCCAGUUACUAUGAUCUAUUAUCACAACUGAUAGAUAAAUAUUAAUAUGUUUUUAACUUAUACUCCACACUUUAUUUGGAUUUCAUGAGUUUUUCCCUAAUAGAAUUUUUCCAUCCCAGUAUCCCAUGCAAGAUACUGGAUCAGUUUCUUAGGGUUUCUGGAACAAAUCACCACAAAUUUAGUGGCUGAAAACAACAGAAAUGUAGUCUCUGGAGUUCCAGAGGCUAGCAGUCCUAAGUGUGCAGGGUACCCUCCCCCGAAGCCUCUAGGGGAGAACCCUUCCUGCCUCUUCCAGCUUCCAGGGGCCCCAGGUGCUCCUUGGCUUGGGGUGGGCUAUAUCUUGGAGCUCGAUGCUGAUCUCUGUGGCCAUCUUUCUACUACCUUCUUUGUACAUCUCUGGGCCUGUGUGCUUCAAACUCCCCUGUCCUUUCUCUUAUAAAGACACCCAGUCAUUGAAUUUAGGGCUCACUGUAAAUCCAGGAUAAUCUCAUCUUGAGGUCCUUAACCUAAUUACAUCUGUAAAAUCCUACUUCCAACGAAGGUCAGAUUCACAGGUAGUGAGGGCUGGCAUUUGAACAUAGCUUUUGGGGGGAGACAAAAUUCAAUCCACUGUGAUACACAUUGAGUCAUCUUGUCUGCUUUGGCUUCUUGGGGUUGUGACAGUUUCUCAGAGCUUCCCUGCUUCUAAUUGACCCCCAUCUUGAGGAUGAUUGAGGAUCAAUAUUCUGUAGACUGUGUCUCAAUUUGAGUUUGUCUGAUGUUUUUCUCAUGGUUAGACUGGGAUUGGACCAUGAAAGCUUGACCAUAAAGAAGGCUGAGUGCUGAAGAAUUGAUGCUUUCAAAUUGUGGUGCUAGAGAAGUCUCUUGAGAGUCCCUUGGACAGCAAGAUCAAACCAGUCAAUCCUAAAGGAAAUCAACCCUGAAUAUUCAUUGGAAGGAAUGAUGGUAAAGCUAAAGCUCUAAUAUUUGGCCACCUGAUGCAAAGACUGACUCAUUGGAAAAGACCCUGAUGCUGGGAAAGAUUGAAAGCAAAAGAAGGGGUGACACACACACACAAAAAGAAGGGGGUGACAGAGGAUGAGAUGGUUGGAUGGCAUCACCGACUCCAAUGGACAUGAAUUUGGGCAAACUCAGGAUGAUAGUGAAGGACAGGGAAGCCUGGCGUGCUGCAGUUCAUGGGGUCACAAAGCACUGGACACCACCUAGCGACUGAGGUUAUGAGCUUUGGGGAGGAGUACCACAGAGGUGAAUUGCCCUUCUCGACACAACGUAUCAAAGGUACGUGUUCUCAACUGAACUGAACCACUGAAGAGGUUAACUGUGACGACCUGGCUAAGGAAGUGUUUACCAGGCUUCUCUGUGGCCAAGUUUCUUUCCUGUUCCCCUGCUUCCAUACUGUACCCUUUGGAAGAACACCUCUAAGCACAGUCCACCCUUAAGAGGUGGGAAGCAACGCUUUACUGCCUGAGUGGUUGCAUACGUCGUUUGGAAUGAUUCUAUUGUCCUUACAAUUUUACAUGCACGCUAUCAUAGGAAAGGCAGAUUUCAUGGAUUCCAACCAGAGUCCCGUGGCCUUUCCCCAGUUCCCCUUAGUGAGUCUGAAAUGCAGGACAAAUCAUCUGAGGAGACAGGGCUCUGAAGAGUUUUCAUUAAGAACAGAAAAUGCCAUAGGACGGAGUUAUUCACAGCACGGACUGUUGCGGUCCUCAUAUGCUUUGCAGUCUGCAGUAACAUACAUAUAGAUGUUGAAAGUGAUGUUCAGAAACUGCAUAGCAAGUUGACAGAGUAAUCUUAUGUUCAUUGAAUCAAAUAAUAAAGAUGCCUUUAUUAUUAUUAUUUUCCCAGUAAUUCACUUAUAUUGUCCUUUAUACAAGGAUUGGUCCAGGACGAAAUGGGGAGGGGGGCAGAAAAUGGUCUCCAGCACAGAGUGGACCCCACUGAGUGUGGCCUCACACAGCCUCGGGUGUUCCAGGCUGCCCCCUGCUCUUUACCCACCCUGCAUUUGCCCCUUGAUCCCAGAUGUGAGGCCUGCA
ensembl:lncRNA